GAUGAACGCUGGCGGCGUGCCUAAUCAAUGCAAGUGAAGGAAACGAACAAGAACUUUCUCCCCUUACCGUAGGGGCGGACGGGGUGGGAAAAACGUGAAAAACUACCUUUAAAAACGGGGAUAAUUUGGGAAAACGGAGCCUAUUACGGAAAAAUUAAUUAAACCGAAGGGUUCAAUAUUAAAAGAGGGUUUGCCUGUAACUUUAGAAUGAUCCGCGCCGCAUUUACUAGUUGGUAAGGUAAAGGGUUACCAAGGCAACGAUGCGUAGCCGACCUGAGAGGGUGAUCGGCCACACUGGAACUGAGACACGGUCCAGACUCCUACGGGAGGCAGCAGUAGGGAAUCUUCCGCAAUGGGCGAAAGCCUGACGGAGCAACGCCGCGUGAGUGAUGAAGGUCUUCGGAUCGUAAAACUCUGUUAUUAGGGAAGAACAAAUGUGUAAGUAACUAUGCACGUCUUGACGGUACCUAAUCAGAAAGCCACGGCUAACUACGUG
rnacentral:rRNA from 1 species